UGCCAGCAGCCGCGGUAAGACGGAGGGCUCAAACGUUGUUCGGAAUCACUGGGCAUAAAGCGCACGUAGGCGGCUUGUUAAGUCUGAUGUGAAAGCCCUCGGCUCAACCGAGGAAUUGCGUUUGAUACUACUUUGCUAGAGUCUCGGAGAGGUUGGCGGAAUUCCAGGUGUAGGAGUGAAAUCCGUAGAUAUCUGGAGGAACACCAGUGGCGAAGGCGGCCAACUGGACGAGUACUGACACUGAGGUACGAAAGCGUGGGUAGCAAACAGGAUUAGAUA
rnacentral:rRNA from 1 species